GACGAACGCUGGCGGCGUGCUUAACACAUGCAAGUCGAACGGUACCAAACCGUAGCAAUAUGGUUUGGUAUAGUGGCGGACGGGUGAGUAACGCGUGAGCAAUCUGCCUUAAAGAGGGGGACAACAUUCGGAAACGGAUGCUAAUACCGCAUAAGACCACAGCGGCACAUGCCGUGGGGGUAAAAGGAGAAAUCCGCUUUAAGAUGAGCUCGCGUCCCAUUAGCUAGUUGGUGAGGUAACGGCCCACCAAGGCGACGAUGGGUAGCCGACCUGAGAGGGUGAUCGGCCACACUGGAACUGAGACACGGUCCAGACUCCUACGGGAGGCAGCAGUGGGGAAUAUUGGGCAAUGGGCGAAGGCCUGACCCAGCAACGCCGCGUGAUUGAAGAAGGUCUUCGGAUUGUAAAGAUCUGUCCUAUGGGACGAAAAAAGUGACGGUACCAUAGGAGGAAGCCCCGGCUAACUACGUGCCAGCCGCCGCGGUAAUAC
rnacentral:rRNA from 1 species